rnacentral:rRNA from 1 species
UACGGAGGGUGCAAGCGUUGCUCGGAAUUAUUGGGCGUAAAGGGUAGGUAGGUGGUCUCAUUUGUCAGGGGUGAAAGCCUUGAGCUUAACUCAAGAAGUGCCCCUGAAACGGUGAGACUAGAGUGCUGGAGAGGGUCGUGGAAUUCCCGGUGUAGCGGCGAAAUGCGUAGAGAUCGGGAGGAACACCAGAGGCGAAGGCGGCGACCUGGACAGUUACUGACACUCAACUACGAAAGCGUGGGGAGCAAACAGG